ACUCAAAUGAAUAGACGGGGGCCCGCACAAGCGGCGGAGCAUGCGGAUUAAUUCGAUGCAACGCGAAGAACCUUACCUGGGUUUGACAUGGGCGCUGUAGCCGCAGAGAUGUGGUGUCCUUCGGGGGCGUUCACAGGUGGUGCAUGGCUGUCGUCAGCUCGUGUCGUGAGAUGUUGGGUUAAGUCCCGCAACGAGCGCAACCCUUGUCCGAUGUUGCCAGCGCGUGGUGGCGGGGACUCAUCGGAGACUGCCGGGGUCAACUCGGAGGAAGGUGGGGAUGACGUCAAGUCAUCAUGCCCCUUAUGUCCAGGGCUUCACGCAUGCUACAAUGGCCGGUACAAAGGGUGGCGAUACUGUGAGGUGGAGCGAAUCCCAAAAAGCCGGUCUCAGUUCGGAUCGGGGUCUGCAACUCGACCCCGUGAAGUCGGAGUCGCUAGUAAUCGCAGAUCAGCAAUGCUGCGGUGAAUACGUUCCCGGGCCUUGUACACACCGCCCGU
rnacentral:rRNA from 1 species